rnacentral:rRNA from 1 species
GACGAACGCUGGCGGCGUGCUUAACACAUGCAAGUCGAACGGAAAGGCCCUGCUUUUGUGGGGUGCUCGAGUGGCGAACGGGUGAGUAACACGUGAGUAACCUGCCCUUGACUUUGGGAUAACUUCAGGAAACUGGGGCUAAUACCGGAUAGGAGCUCCUGCUGCAUGGUGGGGGUUGGAAAGUUUCGGCGGUUGGGGAUGGACUCGCGGCUUAUCAGCUUGUUGGUGGGGUAGUGGCUUACCAAGGUUUUGACGGGUAGCCGGCCUGAGAGGGUGACCGGCCACAUUGGGACUGAGAGACGGCCCAGGCUCCUACGGGAGGCAGCAGUGGGGAAUAUUGCACAAUGGGCGGAAGCCUGAUGCAGCAACGCCGCGUGCGGGAUGACGGCCUUCGGGUUGUAAACCGCUUUCGCCUGUGACGAAGCGUGAGUGACGGUAAUGGGUAAAGAAGCACCGGCUAACUACGUG